AGGUAAGCUACUAAGAGCGAAUGGUGGAUGCCUUGACUGGUAAAGGCGAUGAAGGACGUACUAGACUGCGAUAAGCUACGGGGAGCUGUCAAGAAGCUUUGAUCCGUAGAUUUCCGAAUGGGGCAACCCAAUGUAUAGAGAUAUACAUUACCUAUAUAGGAGCGAACGAGGGGAAUUGAAACAUCUUAGUACCCUCAGGAAAAGAAAUCAAUAGAGAUUGCGUCAGUAGCGGCGAGCGAAAGCGCAAGAGGGCAAACCCAGUGCUUGCACUGGGGGUUGUAGGACUGCAAUGUGCAAGAGGUGAGUUUAGCAGAACAUUCUGGAAAGUAUAGCCAUAGAGGGUGAUAGUCCCGUAUGCGAAAAACAAACCUUAGCUAGCAGUAUCCUGAGUAGGGCGGGACACGAGAAAUCCUGUCUGAAGCUGGGUCGACCACGAUCCAACCCUAAAUACUAAUACCAGAUCGAUAGUGCACAAGUACCGUGAGGGAAAGGUGAAAAGAACUGAGGUGAUCAGAGUGAAAUAGAACCUGAAACCAUUUGCUUACAAUCAUUCAGAGCCCUAUGUAGCAAUACAGGGUGAUGGACUGCCUUUUGCAUAAUGAGCCUGCGAGUUGUGGUGUCUGGCAAGGUUAAGCAAACGCGAAGCCGUAGCGAAAGCGAGUCUGAAUAGGGCGCUUAGUCAGAUGCUGCAGACCCGAAACGAAGUGAUCUAUCCAUGAGCAAGUUGAAGCUAGUGUAAGAACUAGUGGAGGACUGAACCCAUAGGCGUUGAAAAGCCCCGGGAUGACUUGUGGAUAGGGGUGAAAGGCCAAUCAAACUUCGUGAUAGCUGGUUCUCUCCGAAAUAUAUUUAGGUAUAGCGUUGUGUCGUAAUAUAAGGGGGUAGAGCACUGAAUGGGCUAGGGCAUACACCAAUGUACCAAACCCUAUCAAACUCCGAAUACCUUAUAUGUAAUCACAGCAGUCAGGCGGCGAGUGAUAAAAUCCGUCGUCAAGAGGGAAACAACCCAGACUACCAGCUAAGGUCCCUAAAUCUUACUUAAGUGGAAAACGAUGUGAAGUUACUUAAACAACCAGGAGGUUGGCUUAGAAGCAGCCAUCCUUUAAAGAAAGCGUAAUAGCUCACUGGUCUAGUGAUUUUGCGCGGAAAAUAUAACGGGGCUAAAGUAAGUACCGAAGCUGUAGACUUGCGCACAACUU
rnacentral:rRNA from 1 species